rnacentral:rRNA from 1 species
AGCAGCCGCGGUAAUUCCAGCUCCAAUAGCGUAUAUUAAAGUUGUUGCAGUUAAAAAGCUCGUAGUUGAAUUUCGGGGUUCCACCGUUGGUCGGGCUAUUGUCUGUACUGGCGUGUGGAAUUUCUACCUUCUGGGGAACUAUCAUGUUAUUAAUUUAGCGUGGUAGGAAACCAGGACCUUUACCUUGAAAAAAUUAGAGUGUUCAAAGCAGGCUUAUGUCUGAAUACAUUAGCAUGGAAUAAUAAAAUAGGACGGUGGUCCUGUUUUGUUGGUUUCUGAAUCACCGUAAUGAUUAAUAGGGAUAGUUGGGGGCAUUAGUAUUCAAUUGUCAGAGGUGAAAUUCUUGGAUUUAU